GAUGAACGCUAGCGGCAGGCCUAACACAUGCAAGUCGAGGGGCAGCACAGAAAUAGCUUGCUAUUUGGGUGGCGACCGGCGCACGGGUGCGUAACGCGUAUGCAACCUACCUUAUACUGGGGUAUAGCCCGGAGAAAUUCGGAUUAAUCCCCCAUGGUAUUAUAGAUUGGCAUCGGUUUAUAAUUAAAGUAACAACGGUAUAAGAUGGGCAUGCGUCCUAUUAGCUAGAUGGUGAGGUAACGGCUCACCAUGGCUACGAUAGGUAGGGGGCCUGAGAGGGUAGUCCCCCACACUGGUACUGAGACACGGACCAGACUCCUACGGGAGGCAGCAGUUGAGGAAUAUUGGUCAAAUGGGCGCAAGCCUGAACCAGCCAUGCCGCGUGAAGGAAGAAGGUUCUAUGGAUUGUAAACUCUUUUAUUAGGAAUAAAACCUCCCGACGUGUCGGGAGCUGAAGGUACUAAAAUGAAUAAGCACCGGCUAAACUCCGUGCCAGCAGCCCG
rnacentral:rRNA from 1 species